AACAAAAUCAGGUGGUACCUUACAAUUAUUGUAAGGUAGUUGAGUCAUUGUAAAAUCAAUUAACCACAACUUUUUUAUUUUUACCUUUUCGUGUUCCUAGCUAGAUAAGAUUGGGGGAAAAAAAAUAAUAAAGUUUUCACUUUUUAUUUCAUUCUAGUAAUGGAGUCAUUUUCAUUUUUAGCCCUAUGUCGUGCGAGAUGAAAUUCUCAUGAAGGGCUCUUAGGGACAAUAAUGCAGUAUUACUUUUGUAGUAGUCACUAUCAAUGUUACAACAAAUGCUUAUUGGUAGAAGAUAUUUAAAUAUUUAAUGCCCCAAAUUCUUAUUCUUAUUUUUACUCUUAUUUUUUUAUGUAUUCUGGACCACGAGAUUUCUCUAUUUUUUUUUAUUUUUACUUUGUUAAUUAAUGUAUGCACGCCUGUUCAUUUCUAUUUUCUUUAAUUUGUAUUAACACUAAUGCAACCGAACUUGAUAGUUUUGUCAAGUGCCUACUUUCAAAUCGACUUAAUACAUGCUGGUGUGGGGAAUGAGAGGUGUCAUAACACAUCUCCUUGCUCCAACUCCAAUAUUAGAGUAUAUUUGGGAUUACUUUUGCCAAGAAUCAAUUUCUACUUUGAUUUUUGAAAAAUCAGUUUUAUAAAUAAUGUAGGAGGGCAUUUAAUAAUUACUUUUCUAAUAAUUUACUCCAGAUGUUUGGUAAAUAAAAGUGCAAUAUUCAAUGUACAAUGAAAAAAAUGAGUUUAUUUACUUAUUUGUAAUGUUGGUCUUAGACCGAUUAAUAUUUAAUCUAGAACCACUAAGAUCUCACUGAACUCUCUAAUUAAUGAUUUAAAAACACCAAACAAAUCACUGAGAACAGUGAAUUUGAAAUGGACAUAAAAAUGGACAUAGCCUACAUCCACUGAGAACAGAAUAAAAAAACUCUAUUGAAUCACCGAGAACAAGAUACAAGUGAAGAAGUUACAAGCUUUCAAUCAUGAUUAAUCAGAGUCUCUAAGACUAUAUAUACUGAUCAAGACGACUCUAGGAAGAUCUCAAUUUGGCCAGCUGCUAUUUGUAUUUGUGAUUGUUCUCGCCUUUAUAACCACUAAUGAUGGCCUCCAAUCGGGUUUAAACCACGUGCUGAUCUUGUGACGCUUAUAAGUAAUCGAAAGGAUCCCCCAAGUUGUCGUUUUGAGCCGAAGCAUGAUAAGUGAUAGCACGUGAUAGACACGUGCUCCACGUAAGUGAAAGUCUGACAUUGCGCGGAUGUCGUUUGCUUCGUCUAUUUCUAUAAGGCCGAUAAGUCACACGUACACCAGAAGCCAAAAUGACAAAACAUCCGAGAAUUCAGUUUCGAGAUCGGUACUUCAACGUGUAAUUUGUUUGCAAUUGUAUUAUUUAAAUCAUUUUUUUAUUUACUGCUUAUUUCUUACAGCAUACCUAUUUUAUUUAUUAUAUUUUUAAAUAAUUUUUUCAUUACCUACUUCAUUUGGCUAUAAAUUCAACGU
rnacentral:lncRNA from 1 species